rnacentral:rRNA from 1 species
GAAAUAGAACCUGAAACCGUGUGCUUACAAGUAGUCAGAGCCCGUUAAUGGGUGAUGGCGUGCCUUUUGUAGAAUGAACCGGCGAGUUACGAUUUGAUGCAAGGUUAAGCAGUAAAUGUGGAGCCGUAGCGAAAGCGAGUCUGAAUAGGGCGUUUAGUAUUUGGUCGUAGACCCGAAACCAGGUGAUCUACCCUUGGUCAGGUUGAAGUUCAGGUAACACUGAAUGGAGGACCGAACCGACUUACGUUGAAAAGUGAGCGGAUGAACUGAGGGUAGCGGAGAAAUUCCAAUCGAACCUGGAGAUAGCUGGUUCUCUCCGAAAUAGCUUUAGGGCUAGCCUCAAGUGAUGAUUAUUGGAGGUAGAGCACUGUUUGGACGAGGGGCCCCUCUCGGGUUACCGAAUUCAGACAAACUCCGAAUGCCAAUUAAUUUAACUUGGGAGUCAGAACAUGGGUGAUAAGGUCCGUGUUCGAAAGGGAAACAGCCCAGACCACCAGCUAAGGUCCCAAAAUAUAUGUUAAGUGGAAAAGGAUGUGGCGUUGCCCAGACAACUAGGAUGUUGGCUUAGAAGCAGCCAUCAUUUAAAGAGUGCGUAAUAGCUCACUAGUCGAGUGACACUGCGCCGAAAAUGUACCGGGGCUAAACAUAUUACCGAAGCUGUGGAUUGUCCUUUGGACAAUGGUAGGAGAGCGUUCUAAGGGCGUUGAAGCAUGAUCGUAAGGACAUGUGGAGCGCUUAGAAGUGAGAAUGCCGGUGUGAGUAGCGAAAGACGGGUGAGAAUCCCGUCCACCGAUUGACUAAGGUUUCCAGAGGAAGGCUCGUCCGCUCUGGGUUAGUCGGGUCCUAAGCUGAGGCCGACAGGCGUAGGCGAUGGAUAACAGGUUGAUAUUCCUGUACCACCUAUAAUCGUUUUAAUCGAUGGGGGGACGCAGUAGGAUAGGCGAAGCGUGCGAUUGGAUUGCACGUCUAAGCAGUAAGGCUGAGUAUUAGGCAAAUCCGGUACUCGUUAAGGCUGAGCUGUGAUGGGGAGAAGACAUUGUGUCUUCGAGUCGUUGAUUUCACACUGCCGAGAAAAGCCUCUAGAUAGAAAAUAGGUGCCCGUACCGCAAACCGACACAGGUAGUCAAGAUGAGAAUUCUAAGGUGAGCGAGCGAACUCUCGUUAAGG